UCGAGAAUUUUUCUCAAUGGGCGAAAGCCUGAAGGAGCGACGCCGCGUGGGGGAUGAAGGGCUUCGGCCCGUAAACCCCUGUCAUUUGCGAACAAAUGUCAUUCAUUAAUAGUGGGUGGCUUGAUUGUAGCGAAAGAGGAAGGGACGGCUAACUCUGUGCCAGCAGCCGCGGUAAUACAGAGGUCCCAAGCGUUGUUCGGAUUCACUGGGCGUAAAGGGUGCGCAGGUGGGCUGGUAAGUUCGAUGUGAAAGCCCCGGGCUUAACCCGGGAAUGGCAUUGGAUACUACUGGUCUGGAGGAUUGGAGGGGGGACUGGAAUUCUUGGUGUAGCAGUGAAAUGCGUAGAUAUCAAGAGGAACACCAGUGGCGAAGGCGAGUCCCUGGACAAUACCUGACACUGAGGCACGAAAGCCGGGGGAGCAAACAG
rnacentral:rRNA from 1 species